rnacentral:lncRNA from 1 species
CGUAUAGGCUUUAUACUGUGGUGCCUCGCCUGGUCAAGUGUGUAGAUGUUCUGACCAAUUGGUAUGUCAGAAUGAAUCGUAGAAGAUUAAAGGGUGAAAAUGGAACAGAGGAUUGUGUUAUGGCCCUAGAGACCUUGUUUAGUGUCCUGCUUUCUCUGUGCAGACUGAUGGUAAGAUGCUUCGUGCUAUUAAAACUGGCCUGUGGGCUUCCUGUGCCUGCGCUGCAGCUUCCUCACUUGUGUCUCUUUGACGGAGAAGACCACCUUGUAUUUCCACUUAAAAUGGCUCAUGUAUCCAGAUCCUCUUCAGAAAUCUUGCCAGUUUACAUAUGUUAAGUAAAGGCUAAGAAACACUAGACUCUUGUAGUCACCGGUGGUACAGUAGCAGUAGCGGUCAGCAUCCUUACAUCUAGAUAAGGAUUGGUAGUUGGAGCUAAAGCAUGCCUUGCCUUAAUGUGGAUUCUCAGAACUGUCACCAGGAGGUUCCUGAACUCCUAUCUGACUGAACAGAUAUAUCACAAACAACAUUCUCAACUUAGCAUUGAGAGAAAAAUGUGCAAGCAAUUGCUGUGCAACAUGUUCUUACCAGUUAAAAUAUCAGUUAAAUGAUAUUCAAGAGAGAAGGCUCCAGCUAUAGUUCCUUGCAUCCUGUUCUGCUGUUCCUGUAUAAUAUUGCAAGCCUUCUGUUUAUCUUGUGACAUUCACAAGAGGAGAAUCUGCCUCCUACCUCGUCCUCUACCUGGUGUCUGCCAUACUUGACCUCAUCCCCCUGCACCCUGUGAAGUAGGUGGUGUUUUCCCCAGUUACAGAUAGGCUACUGAGGUUUGGGACAGUCAGUCCUCUGCAUAUUGACAUGGCUGAUGCUUGGUCAGAGGCUGUUGUUUUUUCAGACAUCCUCUAAGAGUCUAUCGAGGUAUUUUGGGUCCUGCCGGUUAUAGCCCUACUGCUGUGCUUCAGAGUGGGCUCAGCUUUUUUUCAUAGAGCUUACCUGUGACCUCAUGCCUGUGUCUGUGUGUCACCCUCAAAAAUGUGUAUUACUGUUUCUCAGCAUGAGUGAAGUACCUGAUGGUGGCUGUAUGUAUAUGAAUGACAUAAUGUCCUGUGUCCUCCUGCAGGCCCCUUACACACCAUUUCUCACUGAAUUGAUGUACCAGAAUCUAAAGAUGCUGAUUGACCCCGUUUCCGUCCAGGACAAGGACACACUCAGCAUCCAUUACCUCAUGCUGCCUUGUGUUCGGUAGGAAUGAAAUAAGCUUUACCUAUGCCAUGGGAAGGGAUGUCGCCAGCGCUUGUGGAGGCCAGCCUCCCAGGGAAGGAAUGGAGACAGCUGGCCCUUCCCUGCUUCAGCCCCUCUGUGCCUGUCUUCCAACCUAAGCUCAUGUGAGCUGCUCAUCAAGUUGCAGUAUGGGCUCUACUUUGACAAGCAACAGGAGGGAUGCUGGAUAUAGAGUCCCUUUGCAAAGCUGGGAACAUGCCCCGUAGAGACACCUGAGGAGCUGAUUGUGUGGCCCAUUCCCCACCCCUAGUGUAGGCCCAGGUGUUAUCCUUCCCCAGGUAGUGGCCCAGGAAGCUUUACCACCCCAUCCCUUCUUUAGCCUAACCAUCUUCCUCACUGAAGCAAGCCUGUUUUUCCCCCUUUUGAAUCUAAUCUCCUAUUUCUU